rnacentral:rRNA from 1 species
AGAGUUUGAUCCUGGCUCAGAUUGAACGCUGGCGGCAGGCCUAACACAUGCAAGUCGAGCGGUAGCACAGAAGAGCUUGCUCUUUGGGUGACGAGCGGCGGACGGGUGAGUAAUGUCUGGGAAACUGCCUGAUGGAGGGGGAUAACUACUGGAAACGGUAGCUAAUACCGCAUGACGUCGCAAGACCAAAGUGGGGGACCUUCGGGCCUCACGCCAUCGGAUGUGCCCAGAUGGGAUUAGCUAGUAGGUGAGGUAAUGGCUCACCUAGGCGACGAUCCCUAGCUGGUCUGAGAGGAUGACCAGCCACACUGGAACUGAGACACGGUCCAGACUCCUACGGGAGGCAGCAGUGGGGAAUAUUGCACAAUGGGCGCAAGCCUGAUGCAGCCAUGCCGCGUGUGUGAAGAAGGCCUUAGGGUUGUAAAGCACUUUCAGCGAGGAGGAAGGCGUUGCAGUUAAUAGCUGCAGCGAUUGACGUUACUCGCAGAAGAAGCACCGGCUAACUCCGUGCCAGCAGCCGCGGUAAUACGGAGGGUGCAAGCGUUAAUCGGAAUUACUGGGCGUAAAGCGCACGCAG